UCCUACGGGGCGCAGCAGUGGGGAAUAUUGCACAAUGGGGGAAACCCUGAUGCAGCGAUGCCGCGUGGAGGAAGAAGGUUUUCGGAUUGUAAACUCCUUUUAUCAGGGACGAUAAUGACGGUACCUGAAGAAAAAGCUCCGGCUAACUACGUGCCAGCAGCCGCGGUAAUACGUAGGGAGCGAGCGUUGUCCGGAAUUACUGGGUGUAAAGGGAGAGUAGGCGGCAAGGUAAGCGAUAUGUGAAAGCCUUAGGCUUAACCAAAGGAUUGCACAACGAACUAUCUAGCUAGAGUACAGGAGAGGAA
rnacentral:rRNA from 1 species